rnacentral:tRNA from 1 species
GGCAGUGUAGCACAGUGGGUCUAGAGCUGGUCUUGUAACCUGAAGGUCACAGGUUCGAUUCCUGGGUAGGACACUGCCG